GUUGAGAGUGGUAGUAUUGAAGCUGUUGAUAUUCUGUUAACUAAUGGAGCUAGAACUAAUGUUGUGUCUAAAGUAAGUAUUAGUCCAAGCAUUUUAUAUUUUGGUACUCCACUACACUGUGCUAUUGAAACUGGUAAUGCUAAUAUUAUCAAAUUAUUAAUAACUAAAGGAAAAGCUGAUGUGAAUGCUGUGAAUAAGGACAACAGAACUCCAUUGUUUAAUGCUGUUGAGAGUGGU